UACGUAGGGUGCGAGCGUUAAUCGGAAUUACUGGGCGUAGAGCGUGCGCAGGCGGUUAUGCAAGACAGAUGUGAAAUCCCCGGGCUCAACCUGGGAACUGCAUUUGUGACUGCAUGGCUAGAGUGCGGCAGAGGGGGAUGGAAUUCCGCGUGUAGCAGUGAAAUGCGUAGAUAUCAAGUGGAACACCAGUGGCGAAGGCGAGUCUCUGG
rnacentral:rRNA from 1 species